ACUUUCUCUCUUUCUUCUUUUUUGCAUACACAGAGAGAAUAUGAAGGUUCAACAUGAAAAGAGUAGUGAUUCAUCGAGUAGAACAAUCGGAGAGAAACUCGCUCAAGCUUAUCGAGAUGUGAAGGUUGCCCUAGCCCUAACAAAAAAUCGAGGCGUUGGAAUGAGACGAAACCAAAAGGAAGAUCCUAUUAGAACCAUAAUGUUCUUGGGUUCGUGGAGUCACACUUGAACUAGCUAGUUACCGUUUGUUUGAUUAACAAACUAUUUCUUAAAAACUUUUCUUAACAACUGUAUCAUUAAACGGUUUAUUGUAAAGGUUAGUAUAUUGUUUUUGUAUAAUAAAGUUAAAGAGCUAGUCAUAAUAAACUGUGAUUUUGAAAGGUUUUUCGUAAAACAUUCAACAAAUAAUAAUGAACAAAAGCAAUGUUAUAUCAAAUAAUGUUUUCUUACUUUAAUGUUAUGAAUAUAUAUUUUCAAUCCAACUUUUAUAUAUAUAUAUAUAUGUAUAUAUAUGUUGGUUCCUUGUACAAAUUCAAUAAUGUAUAUUAUAAGCACAAAUAAAUCUAAAAUGUUGUAAGGUUUUUCUCUCAAACUCCCUCUUUCAUUUCUCUUAAUAAAAUCUUGUUCUUAAUUUCGCUUAACAAAACCGUGUUCUCAAGUACUGUGGAUGUAGGCGUUUAUAACUGAACCAUUUUAAAAAUUUCAUGUGUUGAUUCUUCUACUUCUCCUCUUCCAUCUUCAUCAUCAUCUCUAUCUUCAAUCAAAAACUCUAUCAAAAACCACAAAACAGACAUAGACAAUAGAGAGAGGAAGCUUGCGUAUUUACGUGGAUUUGCUUUUGUUCAAAAAGCAAAGUAAAGAAUGAAAAGGAAGAGAAGUUAACUUUAACCAAUUUCACAUGCAAAAGAGAUAAAAUAAAAAUCUAAAAAUAAAAUAACUUUACUUAGUGGUUGCCUCUUGACCCUACACGUGAACAGCAUCAACUUCUUACUCUUUUUUCCCUUCCACCAACCUCAACUCUUAGCUCAUUUUCGUGUGUCAUUGGCCAUACAAAACAUACGAUCCCACAAUUAUCAACCAACAAAUCUCUAGGCUAAUGACUUGCAAUUAAAUGAAACCAAUUUCUAAUUGGAUGUGAAUUUCCAAGAUCUUUUGACAUUUGCCAAAUUUUAAUCAUUUCUUGAAGGCUAUGGUAUUGAACAUUUUUUAGAAUGUUUUGGGUGCUAGGUUGGUCCGCGACUAAGGGGUACCAAUCUCGAGCCCUUAGUCCUCUAAAAUGUCGCGCCCAAGGUCAUAACCCAAAUCAAAUGACUUACCCAUUUGGCAUCCUUCCUCGUCGGCCGAAGAAAAUAGGCCACACAAAAUUGCACACGGACGUACCCAUUUCUCGCCAAACACAAUCAGACCGCCCAAAUCCAAGCCCAUCGGAUUUCUCUCCACCGAUUCCAUGGCUGCAUCAACUCACUGACUACACAAUCAAUCCUUCUCAAUCUCACCUCGUCUAUUACAUCGUUCUCUGAGCCAUUACCUCUGGCAGCUGCAAAUUCAAUUCAGAAGUAAUAACCAUUUUCGUUUUCUAACUUGCAAAAAUGGCGUCCGAAUCCGACCACAAAGCUACAAUAAUCGACGGCAAAAAGAUCGCACAAACUGUCAGAUCUGAAGUCGCGGAGGAAGUGAACAAACUCUCUGAGAAAUAUGGAAAGGUUCCAGGACUGGCGGUGGUGAUUGUGGGGAAUAGAAAGGAUUCGCUUACCUAUGUAAAUAUGAAGAGGAAGGCUUGCCUGGAAGUCGGGAUCAAGUCUUUUGAGAUUGAUCUUCCUGAGCAAGUGUCUGAGGCUGAAUUGAUCAGCAAAGUCCAUGAGCUUAAUGCCAAUCCUGAAGUACAUGGGAUAUUGGUUCAGCUUCCUUUGCCGAACCACAUAAAUGAAGAGAAAGUUCUAUCUGAAAUUAGCAUUGAGAAGGAUGUAGAUGGCUUUCAUCCUCUGAACAUUGGGAAGCUUGCAAUGAAAGGCAGAGAUCCCUUGUUCCUACCUUGCACUCCGAAGGGGUGUCUUGAACUGCUGUCGCGAAGUGGAAUUAGCAUCAGAGGAAAGAAAGCAGUUGUUAUGGGGCGAAGCAACAUUGUUGGAUUACCAGUUUCAUUGUUGCUUCUUAAAGCAGAUGCAACUGUCACAAUCGUCCAUUCACGUUCCGUUGAUCCAGAAAGUGUUAUCCGCGAAGCAGACAUUAUAAUUGCUGCAGCAGGACAGGCACAAAUGAUCAAGGGGAGUUGGAUUAAACCAGGUGCUGCAGUCAUCGAUGUCGGUACAAAUGCAGUUGAUGAUCCAACCAAGAAGUCGGGCUACCGGCUGGUCGGGGAUGUAGAUUUCCAGGAAGCUUGUAAAGUAGCUGGUUGGAUAACUCCGGUUCCGGGUGGCGUAGGUCCUAUGACUGUUGCCAUGCUGCUUAGGAAUACUUUGGAUGGGGCUAAGCGUGCGAUCGAGCAGUGAAAAAGACACCGCAGCUUGUUACCGAUCCUCGUGGGACUUUUUCGGAGUAAUUUCAAAAUAAAUGAAAAACCUCCAUUUCCUUCUUGUCUAAGCUGACUAUGGCCUCAAUCCCUUCACCAUCUUUGGAAUCCAUCAACAAAAUCAUAUUCUUCCAUGGAAACUCAGUACUCUUCAAAGUUUCUCUUCGUGUCACCCACUAAGUUCCAUAGCUCCAUUUCCCUCUUCUCCUGCGUCCUCGACAAUCCUAUGAACCAAGAGAUUACGUUUCCUGAUAAUGUCGCUGGCAAUGGCGGAUCCACUCUGUUUCAAUUUAAUUCCCCGCCGCUUUCCAACUUCGUCGGAGGGAAAAAACUAGCCCCAUUAAAUUGAGGAGGACAAUUCAGGGUCGGUGGAUCAUUGCCGUCGCGGGAGCUACGAGCAAUGAAAACCCAAUCAUUUAUGAAGUUGGUUAACGACGCCAAAUCCGCAACUUUGUGAGAACAUAACACAUACAUCACUUCUCCUCCACAUUCAAAUUGUGUCAACUGAACACACAACAAUGGAUUCAAUCUUUGGUCUUUUCCAUUGAUGUCAUCCGAAAGAGUCAACUUCAAAAUCUCUUCACGUUCUAAAUUGAAGUUGUUCAUAAAUUCUGACAUGGGACACCGGAGCUUUGCCUCCGAAACAAUUGCACCCACGUCGUUGCAGUUGAUGGAGUUGCCAUCGUCUCUGAGGCGGCCGGCAAAAGGGUAGUAAAAAGUCAAGGCCUUUGAGAGGCUAUCUUUCAGCAGCUGCCGGCUGUAGCCGGAGCUGAUAUCGUGGUUGUAGUAGAAAUAGAGAAGGUGUAUAUACAUUUUAGGGGCUUGUUGAUCAAAAAGGCUAAGAGGGAGUUUUUUGAGUUGUGGUGGGGUUGCAGAUAAAGGCUUGAUGGUUUCUUUACUAACUAUUUGAAGCUCCAUCAUCUUUUGUGUAGGUUGUGAAGAACAAGAUGAUGAUUUAUUGCAUGCGAAGCUAAAAGCUUAUAUGUAGGUUUGAAGUCAAGAAAGUAAGGACAAAAGGAAAAUAUUUAAAA